AGACGUCUACAUUAGAUACCCGGGUAGUCCCAGCCGUAAACUAUGCGCGUUAGGUGUAUCGGUGACCACGAGUCACCGAGGUGCCGAAGGGAACCGUGAAACGUGCCGCCUGGGAAGUACGGUCGCAAGGCUGAAACUUAAAGGAAUUGGCGGGGAGCACCACAACAGGUGGAGCCUGCGGUUUAAUUGGACUCAACGCCGGGAAGCUCACCGGAUAAGACAGCGGAAUGAUUGCCGGGCUGAAGACUCUGCAUGACUAGCUG
rnacentral:rRNA from 1 species